rnacentral:rRNA from 1 species
AUGGCCGAACGAUUCCCCGGCGACGAGGCGGCGGCCAACGGCUUCGGCCACCGCUCCCUCCGCGAUCAGGAGUCGUGGCUCCUGUUCGAGGCCAACAUCCCGGCGGCGCCGAACAUGCGCGCCGGGCCGUCGGGGUGGCGGCUCAGCAACGGGGGAGUGCCCGUUUCGCCAUUGCCCGACGCCGCGGCGCGGACCGCGUACUUCGCCGACGAGGUCGAGCUCGCACGCGCCUCCCUCACCGGUGAGCAGCGCGCCCUCCCCCAGUACACCGCCGACAACCGCUCAGCAUGGGCGGCGUACUUCGAGCGCCGUCAAGAACAAAGACUGGCGUCCACCAACGGGCGCCGGUGGUGGGCGGCAGACAGAACAGUAAGGGCCACCGCGUUUGUUGGGGCAUCCCCGUCCGCACGCUCGGCGGCGUGCUGGCGCACCUUGAGGGCGGGAACGAGCUGCCAUUGA